rnacentral:rRNA from 1 species
AACGAACGCUGGCGGCAUGCCUAACACAUGCAAGUCGAACGGGACCUUCGGGUCUAGUGGCGCACGGGUGCGUAACGCGUGGGAACCUGCCCUUAGGUUCGGAAUAACUCCCCGAAAGGGGUGCUAAUACCGGAUAAUGUCUUCGGACCAAAGAUUUAUCGCCUUUGGAUGGGCCCGCGUUGGAUUAGCUAGUUGGUAGGGUAAAAGCCUACCAAGGCGACGAUCCAUAGCUGGUCUGAGAGGAUGAUCAGCCACACUGGGACUGAGACACAGCCCAGACUCCUACGGGAGGCAGCAGUGGGGAAUAUUGGACAAUGGGCGAAAGCCUGAUCCAGCAAUGCCGCGUGAGUGAUGAAGGCCUUAGGGUUGUAAAGCUCUUUUACCCGGGAUGAUAAUGACAGUACCGGGAGAAUAAGCUCCGGCUAACUCCGUG